GUCGAGAAUAAUUCACAAUGGACGAAAGUCUGAUGGUGCAACGCCGCGUGGAGGAUGAAGGUCUUCGGAUUGUAAACUCCUGUCAUCGGGGAGUAAGACCUGGCGGUAAAUAGCCGACAGGGUUGAUAGUACCCGAAGAGGAAGGGACGGCUAACUUCGUGCCAGCAGCCGCGGUAAUACGAAGGUCCCAAGCGUUGUUCGGAAUCACUGGGCGUAAAGGGAGCGUAGGCGGCGUGGUAAGUCAGAUGUGAAAUCCCGGGGCGCAACACCGGAACUGCAUCCGAUACUGCCAUGCUUGAGGGUUGGAGAGGUAGCUGGAAUUCUCGGUGUAGCAGUGAAAUGCGUGGAUAUCGAGAGGAACACUCGUGGCGAAGGCGAGCUACUGGACAACAUCUGACGCUGAGGCUCGAAGGCCAGGGGAGCAAAAGGGAUUAGAAACCCUUGUAGUCC
rnacentral:rRNA from 1 species